UCCGCGUGCUCGGGAUAUUAGUUGGGUUCGUUACCUCUGAGCCACAAUGGGAACUUCCUAUUCUUGUAGUAAUUUCUAAUGGUGAUUCCCAAUUAGAAUAUUAACAGAGCUUUUAGGGAAUUGGAUAAGAAGCCCUUAAAAUCCAUAUGAGGUCUAGAUGCCAAAGAAUAUGCUAUGAAUAAAGCCUCUGUAAGCAAAUAAAUGAAAGCUCUGAAAUCACCUAAAUAUGGUUAGAAUAGAAUUAAACAAGGAGAUCAAAACAAUAAAAUAGAGAAUUAAGAAAUUGUUCCCAGUAUGUACUUUAAAUUUCUGAUAAAAGUAGGAUCUGAAUUCAACAUGGAAAGUUAAUAAAGUAAAUAAACAAUGUUAGCUCCACUUUUAUCCAUAUAGAGGAAUGUUAAGCUGACAGUCUAUCUCGUACCAUAAACAAAAAUAAAUUUCAGAUUGAUUAAAGUCUUUUGAGAAACAAAUACAAACAUCAGAAGAAAAUAUUCAUUUUGUACAAUUUGCUAUUCAACGGUGAGAGACUAAAACCACGUCAGGAAAUUUAUAUAUAAAAGAAAUGUUAGACUUUUUUGACCUCAAAAAAAUUAUACUACAUAUAGUAAAGAAUACUAUAAUUAAAAGAGGAGCAGAUUUGGAAAAAAUAUUUUCAAAGAAGCUGAAAGAUAAAGGGUCAAUAAAAUUUCAUAAGAUUAUAUCUUAUAAACAGACAAGAAAAAGACAAGUGUUCCAAUGAAAAAUAGGAUGUGAACAAUUAGUUCACAGUAAAGUAAAUUCAUUGAAUCUAUGGAAAGAUUCUGAGACUCAGUAGGGAAAUAGUAAAGUCAUAAUGAGCUCAUCACAUUCAUCAGUCUGACCAAAAACUAAAAUGAGCAAUAAAUAUUUCUUCCUAGAAAGAGAUGGAGAGAGGAGACAAGGUAUUCAUAAAUUAGGGUGGGACUGCAAAAUGUUGCAAUGUUUUGGGAAAGCAAUAUGGCAACAUCAAUUACACUGAAAAAAAAUAUCAUUUGACCUAGCAGUUAGUUCCGCUGCUGGAAAUAGUUUCCACAAAUGGGAAUAUAUAGGAGAUAUGCUGGAAAGUGAAGGCACAGCAGUAUGAGACCAAUUGAAUAUUUUAAGACACCUCCACCAUGUAGAAUAUUAGGCAGUCAUAAAAAAUAGUGCAAUACCAAUUGACCUAGAAAGAUUUUAGGAGGAACUGUUGAGUAAGAAGAUCAAUUGGCUGAAAAUAAUGAUAAUGUCAUUACCUUAUUGUAAAACAGUGACAACUCUCCUUUAAUAAGGGAAUGCAUACGUGUGUUUGGGUAGAUCAUUAUAGACAGAUUUCAUUGACACUCCUAGUUGUUAACCUGAAUCAUGCACUGGGCACUGGCCCAAGCCAGACAAAUAGACAAACGAUUGUGCUAUCCCAUCCAGCCAGUAUAAUUCAACUUCUACAGAAAUUACAAAAAAAAAUCCAUCUGUACUGACUUACAGAUGAUCUAUGUCAAGUAAAGAAGAAGAAAUAAAAGCAAGUUGCCAAGCAAUCCAUAUAGUAUGUUUCUAGUUUGGUGAAAACCACAAACAGAGCCCUGAGUGUGCCUAAGUGAUUGUGGAUGUUUGAAGGAAUAACAUAACAGCUGUUAUCAUCCCCUCCUGGAGCUCAGUGGGGCUGGGCAGGAGGGGGAUGCAAGGAGACGACUAGCUUUCUUUUUAUACAUCUUUGCACUGUUUCACACGUUCUGUUUACAUUGUUAUAAAACAUCUUAAAAAUGGUAAAUUUAGGAGUUCCUAUUGUGGCUCACUGGGUUAAGAACCCUACUAAUAUCCAUGAGGAUGAGGGUUCGAUCCCUGGCCCCGAUCAGUGGGUUAAGGAUCUGGCGUUGCUGCGAGCUGUGGUGUAGGGAAUGGGAAGCAAUGAACUUUAUCUUGAACAGGUACAGUAGUUGGAGCUUAUAAUUUAAUUGGUAAGAGAAGGCAUACUUAUAAAAAGACGAUGUCACUUGUUAAUUUAACAAUCAUUUAUGGAACAUCAACUCUGCCACAGUGGGCUGCAUGCUUAGGAUAAAGCAGUGAACAUCUAGGAACUCCCUGACUUGACAGAGCUUCAUGUCCAGUGUGGGAUACAGACAUUAUUUAAUUAUUUAAAUAGUCCCCCAAAUUAAUAGGACUGAGGUGAAGUGACUGAGGCACUUGCCUUGAGUGUAUAAUUUAAGGCAGCUCAAAAAACUCAGCUAUGAAGAUAAAUAAUAUUUUAAUGCAAACUUAGAAAAAUCAAAAUUAAAGAUCUAUGAUGAAUAAAAUAUCAUAUUUCAUAUAAAGACAGACUGAUUUUUUUUUGCGUUGCUCAGAUAUGGCUCCACAUGGCAUGGCCACAAAUCAUUUUACUGGAAGAGUUAAAGGGUGGGCAGGGGCCGGAUGAUAUAUAUUUGUGUUGGGUGGGAUCAUCUUUUUCCCUUAUUCCUGAAUUAUUAACACUUAAACUGGGACUGGAAGUAUGAGAAGAAGCUGGAAGAAGAAGAGAGGGUUUAAGUGACAGGUUGGGUCCAUGCGAGAGGCAGGAAACAGCUUUGCACCGUUGAGGGAACCAAAAGAUGCUUCACGUGUCCAGACCCAUGGUUCUCAAACUUAAUGCAUGUUAUAAGCACCACCUGGAAAGCAUUUAGGUCUCACUUCUCAGGCCUUACCCAGGCCAACUCAAUAAAAAUCUCUAGGGGUGGGGCUAAGACCUGGGUGGUUUUAAAACUUUCAAGGAGGUUCUGAUGUGCAUCCUGGGUUGGGACGUGGUAGACGAUGACGAAGUGAAUGAGGACGACGAGACUGGAGGGGGACGUGGGAGCUUGCCUGGAGGCCUAGGAAGCCAGGGUAAUUAUUUUGGACUUUUUUCAAAGAUCACCCUGGCUGCUGUGAUGAGAAUAGACUGAAAGAGCUUUGGAUGCCACAGGAAGGUGUGGAGGUGGAAGGUCAUUGCAAACAUCCAGGUGGUCGUGGUAGUGCACUGCCCAGAUGGCCUUCUAGGAAGAAUGUGCUGACCUGAGUGCUGGGAGUGUGGGCAGCAGGCGGCCUUCAGCUGCCUGUCCUUCAGUGUCUGCUUUAGUUGCAGGGAACAGCCUCCGCCAAGGUCAUGUGCACAGCCCCUGAUGGUGGAGGCAUUGCUUUUCCAACCACUUUAUGCUAACCCGGAAAACCUGGGAUUUGUGGAGUGUCUAAUAGGAGCUAACAAACUCCUAUUAGGAAGACUUGGGCCGGUACUGGAAUUAGAAUGAAGAAUGCAGCCCUUCAUCCGGAGAUAAGUUAAGGCACUGAAUUUGAUGGAUUCUAUGUUAUCUGAACCAUUGGUAAUGGACUGAGGUAUUUCUCAGAUUAACUCAGCAAGACACCAGCAGAGCUGGGUGCCUCUGGGAUCCUGGGUCUGCUAUCAACUAGCUGUGCAAAAUGCUGCUUAACUGUGAUGGGUUCCAUCUCCUCACCUGUAAAAUGAGAGGCAACUCAUCCUGAGCUGGUGACUGUGGUUCUCAUCUAUGUUUGUAUAUGUUAGCAACAGAGGAUAUUUGCGUGUGAAACUUCUCCAUGAAAACAGGGAUCAUUUUUGUCCUUCUAUUUUUUUCUCCACUGCUGAAUCCUUGGUAUUAGACUUGUGCUUAACACACAGAAGAACACAGGCUUUACGGGGUCAGGAACUUCAUUUAGUUCAUUCACUGUUGUAUCCCUGGAAUGCUGCCUGGCAUAGAAAAACUUGAAGCAUAAGGAGGACUAGAAAUAAUUUUGCCUUGGUGAAAUGAGUGAAGUUCAAGGUAUGAGGACAGCUGGAACAACACCCAGUGAAACUCUGCCCUGGAUGAACCCAGUGCAAGAAUCGGUGAGCAUCAUGUCUUGGAAGGAACUCCCUCGUUCAAGCACUAGGAUCGCUCCUCACCAAAUCCCCAACGCUGGAUAUAUACCAGGAGAAAAGAGCCAGGAAUGUCUAGGUGGAGAUGGAGAUCUCCAGGAGUAAGGAGAGGCUUAUACCUGAUGAUGCACCACUGCAACUGGAGUCUGCUGGUCUGGAAGCUUCUUGACCCACUGGAGAGAUACUUCCACUGAAGGACAUGAUAAAAUCCUACAGAACUGGGACUGCCACUGGUGACGUAAUAAGUGCUGAGGCUCCAGGGUCUUGGCAAAGGAGCUUGAUGUUGAUGUUGAGGUAUAUUGGUGGCAGUUAUGUUCACCAUUUGCCCCGAGUUUGCAAAGUGGUGAGGAAUAACCUCUAGCAAGAGUAGCAGAGGGAACACAAGAGGAGUAUCAUCGAGAGAUCAUGGAUUCGAUGCUGAGAAACAAGUUUGUAAAUAGCUACACAACACAGUAUCUGCAGGAUGCACGCCUUUGGUUGUGUCCCUGCUGGGAGCAGUGCAAUUACUGAAACAUCAUCUCCAUCUUUUGGGGAGUGGUCUUCAGAUGGCCUCCAGUGAAUGAUUCCUCCUGGUAUUAAUGUUCUGUGCAGUGGCUCCGUUACUGAAUUUUGGCUUACCUUUGACCUACAUAAAAUGGGCAGAAGUAACCAUACCAGUUUAGGUCCUAAGCCUUAAGAAAGACCAACGCCUUUUAUCUUUGUGCUCUUGGAAGCUAGCUACCCUGUAAGAAGUUUGGCUAUGCUGCUGGCAAGGAAAGACCCUGGGGGAUGAGAUGCCCUGUGGAGGAGAGCCAAGACGUCACCUCUGUGACUGCAGAAGCCCUCUUGGAUGUCCUGCCCAUGGAGGACUGCUGUCCAGAGUACUCCAGCCCCAGCUACUCACUGACUGCAACUGCAAGAGAGAUUACAAACAAAACAAACAGAAGAACCACCCAUCUGUGCCCAGUCAGCACAGAGAAUCAUAAGAGAUGAGUAAACUUUUUGUAAGCUACAAAAUUUGAGUGAUUUGUUAUACAGUAAUAAUUAACUUGGAACAAAGCAUUUGAAAAUAUUUCCAAAAAUAAAACCGGUAUAACUUGUGCUGAGGAUGGAAGGAAUAGAGCCUUUGUUUAUCCUGGCACUAUUAAUACUGUUCUGGAUUUAAUUUACAUUAGCUACCACAUCAUUGGAUUGAAUGUGUAGCCAACUAUAAAUUCCUGGCAUUUGUCACAGGAUGGGUAUUUGGCAACUUCUCUCCAAUGUCUUUCUAAGUGGUAUUAUGGACCUAAAUAAAGGACUUCUUCCCCACCCCUCCUGCUACCCUACGCCUUGGUAAUUUUCAUCUUGUCUGUUGUGAUUCAUCAUUCCAGCUUGAUGAGAUUUUUAGAAAAAAAUUUAGUUCUGUCCUCGAAUAAUUAUCCCUUGUGUCCUUGGCAAUUUGACAAACAUAUUCAUAUUUUAUCAAAAUCAUUGAUAAAAAUCAAUGAAUAGCUU